rnacentral:rRNA from 1 species
UACAGAGACUGCAAGCGUUAUUCGGAUUCACUGGGCGUAAAGGGUGCGCAGGCGGCCAAGUGUGUGAGGCGUGAAAGCCUGGAGCUUAACUCCAGAAUUGCACCUCAAACUACAUGGCUAGAGCAUUGGAGAGGGUAGCGGAAUUCACGGUGUAGCAGUGAAAUGCGUAGAUAUCGAGAGGAACACCUGCGGCGAAGGCGGGUUGCUGGGCCGACACUGACGCUGAUGCGCGAAAGCCAGGGGAGCGAACGGG